rnacentral:tRNA from 1 species
GCCUGGGUGGCUCAGUCAGUUGAGCGUCUGACUUCAGCCCAGGUCAUGAUCUCGUGGUUCGUGGGUUCGAGCCCCGCAUUGGGCU